rnacentral:tRNA from 1 species
CAGGGAGACAAUAACUGAUUGUGAUGUCUGGCUAAAUUAUUGCUAGGCCAUGAUCCUGUCAUCUCGAUGGUUAAUCGGUACCUCAACCGACAGAAGCGAAGCCAAAUGAUACUCCAGCGAUGGGGAACCAAAUGAGCUGUCGUGGAAGUCUUUUCAGUUCCUAAACUUUGUCUAGGUCACCCCGCAAGGGUAUCCCUGGGCCAUUAGCUCAGGUGGUUAGAGCGCACCCCUGAUAAGGGUGAGGUCCCUGGUUCAAGUCCAGGAUGGCCCAUUCGUGUUUGGGGGUUUAGCUCAGUUGGUAGAGCGCCUGCUUUGCAAGCAGGAUGUCAGCGGUUCGAGUCCGCUAACCUCCACUGACCAACCCAUCCGGAUCGCGAAAGCAACGGGAGAGAGCAUGUGGUGGUGAUUUUAGAUAAGUGUACUGAGAAAAGGACUCUAGCUUCCUUUCAUCUCAUGGUGAGCCUGAAUCUUAAAGCAAGGUUUUGGUAUCGACUGUGAUUGAAAAGACGCUGGACUCCAGCAUGAUCAACGGAAACGUUGAUGUUGCGGUGUUCAGUAGAACCUUGACAACUGCAUAGGUAAGUCUGUAAAUAAAGCAUCUCAUGGAUGCUUCAAAAGCAGCCAAAAGCCCAAGGCCAUUGGCACUUGGGUGGAGGUAUGUGGAUGAAGCGAUUCUAGAGUAGGAGCCGAGACUCCACAUGGCUCCUGGUUCUUGCCAAAGGAAUCGGGUCUGAUCCUGUUUUCAAUUUUGCCGAUUGCUUGACUGGAGAAACCCAGUUAAUCAGAAAGCUAAGAUGAAAGCAAGAGAAUCUGCGCACAACCGCAGUAAGGUGAUGUGGAGGUUAAUU